rnacentral:rRNA from 1 species
AGAGUUUGAUCCUGGCUCAGGACGAACGCUGGCGGCGUGCCUAACACAUGCAAGUCGUGCGGUCUCGCCUUAAGCGAAAGGCCUUCGGGCUUUGAAGCGAAAGGCGAGAUAGCGGCGGACGGGUGAGUAACGCGUGGCUUAUCUGUCCCAGGGAGGGGGAUAACGCCUGGAAACGGGCGCUAAUACCCCAUAUGCCUAAAAGGUGAAAAGGAGAGAUCCGCCCUGGGGUGAGGCCGCGUCCUAUCAGCUCGUUGGUGAGGUAACGGCCCACCAAGGCUAUGACGGGUAGCCGGCCUGAGAGGGCGGCUGGCCACACUGGGAUUGAGAUACGGCCCAGACUCCUACGGGAGGCAGCAGUGGGGAAUAUUGGGCAAUGGGGGAAACCCUGACCCAGCGACGCCGCGUGGAGGAAGGAGCCCUUCGGGGUGUAAACUCCUGUUGUAAGGGAAGAAGACCUGACGGUACCUUACAAGGAAGCCCCGGCAAACUACGUGCCAGCAGCCGCGGUAAU